rnacentral:lncRNA from 1 species
CUCGAUCCACCAACCAGCGAGCACCACCAGCAGGACCAGCCCCGCGCCGCAGCCUCCUUCUCCCCGUUCCUGAUGGCCACCUCCUCCCAUGUCCAGGAGCUCGCAGCCGCGAAGCCGUGCGCCGCGAAGCUCCUCCCAUGGCCGCCCUGCCGCCACGUCCAACCACCGCCAGGCGCCAACCGUUGCCGGCGUGCAACAGCAGCCAUCAGGACCCCUCGUCGUCUUUCUCUCCCUCCCUUCCUCCGUAUUGCUUUUCUCCUCCUCUCACAUCUCGAUCUCUUUCUCGUUCUUUUCUUCUCUGUCAGGGAACGAACAGCACCACCAGAGUUCGCCCAAAGCGCUGUAGCCACCGAGUCCCGCUCAUCUGCCUCCCCUGCCGCUGCCAUGCCUUGCUUCGUCUGAGGCCCUGCCGUUUCAGCGCGAGUUGACCGCGCCUUCCUCUGCUUCCCGCGUGGGACGAUCCCAGCGCCAAGUCCCGUCUUCGCUGCCUCUUUCAUUGCGUCGCCACGAGCCACUUCUUCUGCGAGGACGACACGUCCGCCUGGGUUCCUCUCGCGCCAAGCCUGCCGCUGCAGUUCUUGCCGCUCGCUUCCUCAGCUUCGAACGAGAAUACCAGCGCCACGCCCUGCUUCCUCUGAAUCGAAGACGAGCGCAGCCGCUCGCCCCAUUGACCGCGCCUCGCGCAAGCGCGCGCCUGGGCUGCCACCCCUCCAGCGCCUCUAGAUCCGGCCCAGCAAGCGCCCCGGCCUGCUUCCUCUUCAACUCGGCCCAAGGCCACUAGGUGAGCAGACCCCUUCAGCGCCCUGCGCACUACUGGCCCAACAUGCCUUAGAUUCGGUCCGUUACGUUUUUUUUCAGUUCUGGAGGUUUUCCUAAUUAUCCAGGAGUUUGCUGUUUUACAGAACAACCCUCAUACUUCAUGCAUUUAAUAUCUCCACAACCGUGCAUCGGAUUAAAACAAACUUAAUAUGAAAGUUGCUUAGAAUUUUGUGUAGUUUCAUUAUAUGUCUUUUUCAUCCAUAUCUAAAAUGUUUAAAAUGAUGUUUUUUUAAAUUUGCUUAGAUAAGUUGCUAAAAUGAUUUAAUUCAUAACUAUUUAACCGUAACUCGAUUUGUCACAAACUUUAUAUGUACUUGGGGUAGAAAAAUGCCUAGUUUAACAUGGUGGUUUUACUUUGCAUGUUUAAAAACUCUAAAAUUGUGUUUAGGGCAGAACAGUACCAAACCUUAAAACAUGCACAUGAGGAGUUUCCGGACUUGUUGUUUUGUUGUUUCGGCCUCAUUUAAACUUGCCUAGAUAGAUAGUUUCACUAUGCUUCACCUCUUCCCUUGAUAACAACAUUUAAUAUUGUUGAGUACAUAAACGAGAUCGAACUAAAUAAGUCAUGUGGUGUUUCAUCAAUAUGCAACGGAGUUGCAUAUUGAGUUCCACUUAAUUUGUAGGAUUGUUUGUGCACUUUGCCAUGCCAUGCUUCAUUAAACCGGACAUGCAUCAUACUUGGUUGUGCAUCAUGCCAUGUUAUGUGAUGGUUGUUUACUAUGUUGUUUGCUCCUUUCCGGUGUUGCUUCUUCGGGUUAGUUCCGGUAACAUCGCGUUUGUGAGGAUCCGUUCAACUACGUCCGUUUGUCUUCU